GGUGGAAUUGCUGGGAUAUAUGGUAAUUUCACAUUUAACAUUUUGAGGAACUGCCAAAAUAUUUUUCAAAGGGCCACACCAUUUUGUACUCCUACCAGCAGU
rnacentral:pre_miRNA from 1 species